UCGACGAGAGACCUUCGGGUCUCUAGUGGCGAACGGGUGAGUAACACCUAUGGAACCUGCCCGCGCACCGGGAAUACGCUCUGGAAACGGAUAACAAAUCCCGAUGUACAGGAAGGAGGCAUCUUCUUUCUGUGAAACAUCCUUUCGGGGAUGGGGCGCGGAUGGACCUGCGGUGCAUUAGUUGGUUGGCGGGGUAAAGGCCCACCAAGACGAUGAUGCAUAGCCGGCCUGAGAGGGCGGACGGCCACAUUGGGACUGAGACACGGCCCAGACUCCUGCGGGAGGCAGCAGUAGGGAAUUUUCGUCAAUGGGCGCAAGCCUGAACGAGCGAUGCCGCGUGAGUGAAGAAGGCCUUCGGGUCGUAAAGCUCUGUUGCGGGGGAAAAAAGGCAGCAUCAGGAAAUGGGUGCUGACUGAUGGUGCCCCGCCAGAAAGUCACGGCUAACUACGUGCCAGCAGCCGCGGUAAUACGUAGGUGGCGAGCGUUAUCCGGAAUGAUUGGGCGUAAAGGGUGCGCAGGCGGUCCUGCAAGCCUGGAGUGAAACGCAUGAGCUCAACUCAUGCAUGGCUUUGGAAACUGGAGGACUGGAGAGCAGGAGAGGGCGGUGGAACUCCAUGUG
rnacentral:rRNA from 1 species